UACGGAAGGGGCAAGCGUUGUUCGGAAUCAUUGGGCGUAAAGGGCGCGUAGGUGGUUUUGUGUGUCCGCCGUGAAAGCGUGCAGCUCAACUGCAUUAGGUCGGUGGAAACUGCAAAACUUGAGGCUGGGAGGGGCUGGUGGAAUUCCCUGUGUAGCGGUGAAAUGCGUAGAGAUGGGGGAGAACACUCGUGGCGAAGGCGGCCAGCUGGACCAGUCCUGACACUGAGGCGCGACAGAGUGGGGAGCAAACAGG
rnacentral:rRNA from 1 species